rnacentral:rRNA from 1 species
UUUAAAGGGUGCGUAGGCGGCCUGUUAAGUCAGGGGUGAAAGACGGUAGCUCAACUAUCGCAGUGCCCUUGAUACUGAUGGGCUUGAAUGGACUAGAGGUAGGCGGAAUGAGACAAGUAGCGGUGAAAUGCAUAGAUAUGUCUCAGAACACCGAUUGCGAAGGCAGCUUACUAUGGUCUUAUUGACGCUGAGGCACGAAAGC